CGUGGGUAACCUGCCCAAGAGAUCGGGAUAACACCUGGAAACAGAUGCUAAUACCGGAUAACAACAGAUAAUGCCUAUCAACUGUUUAAAAGAUGGUUCUGCUAUCACUCUUGGAUGGACCUGCGGUGCAUUAGCUAGUUGGUAGGGUAACGGCCUACCAAGGCGAUGAUGCAUAGCCGAGUUGAGAGACUGAUCGGCCACAUUGGGACUGAGACACGGCCCAAACUCCUACGGGAGGCAGCAGCC
rnacentral:rRNA from 1 species